CUUUCAACAACGGAUCUCUGGGUUCCNGCAUCGAUGAAAAACGCACCGAANGGCGAUAAGUAAGGGGAAUNGCAAAAUUCAGGGAAUCAUCGAANCUUUGAACGCACAUNGCGCCCCUCGGUAUUCCGGGGGG
rnacentral:rRNA from 1 species